GUUUUUGUAGUUGAAGUACAACGGUGGUUUUUCAUAUCAUUGGUUGUGGUUAGAAUCCACGCAAAAGCA
rnacentral:tRNA from 1 species